AUACUUACCUGGCAAGGGAGAUACCGUGAUCAAGAAGGCGGUUCACCCAGGGCGAGGCUCAGCCAUUGCACUCCGGCUGUGCUGACCCCUGCGAAUUUCCCAAAUGUGGAAAUCUCGAUUGCAUAAUUUAUGGUAGUGGGGGACC
rnacentral:snRNA from 8 species